rnacentral:rRNA from 1 species
UACGUAGGGGGCAAGCGUUGUCCGGAAUUAUUGGGCGUAAAGGGCGCGUAGGCGGCUUGGCAAGUGGAUGGUGAAAUCCCUCGGCUUAACCGAGGAACUGCCAUCCAGACUGCUUUGCUUGAGGCCGGGAGAGGUGAGUGGAAUUCCCAGUGUAGCGGUGAAAUGCGUAGAUAUUGGGAGGAACACCAGUGGCGAAGGCGGCUCACUGGACCGGUUCUGACGCUGAGGCGCGAAAGCGUGGGGAGCAAACGGG